UGGCAGCUAGAGUGUUUUCGACGAGCCUGAGUUGUCUUCCGAAGUUCACCUGCGCCGAUGUGGUGAAGAGUGUGGAGAUGCAUUCGUCCACUAAAGGAAACAAAUUGGACAAGGGAUAUAAAUUCUUCCACGAAGAGUUUAUCCACAAUUACCAAGAUAUCACUGGAUGCAGAAAGUGCCAACCUGAAAGCUUUCUCCUGCAGUUGUGCGGCUGGUAAAGGAUUCUGCAAUCACAUAGUUGCCAUCCUGUACCAGACCGCACAUUAUUCACAGCUGGGUCUGCAGGCUGUUCCACCCCCCCUGGCCUGCACAAGUGGCUUGCAAAGAUGGCACAGACCAAGAACACAGGGAAUCCAUCCUGAACCGAUUAGUGAGCUGGUGGUGCAAAAGCCCAAAACAGUUGGCAAGGACGGUCUGAGGUCCACACUGUACAAGGCAUAUACAGGACCACUGCCAGAUCCAUAUAUGAUGGCAUCUGGAAGCAAAUUAAGCCAGGUGCAGCCCCAGCCUCUCAUGGCUGUUGUAUAGGAUGGGGUUUCUGAGAUGGAGCUGACGCCAUCUAAAUUUGGGUCUGUCCCUCGUGGAUCCCCCAUCACUGUCCACCCAAGAAGUCCAGUGACCUCCUCCUACACCACAUGGCUGCAGAAUUUCCAUCCCUUCCUGUGAUGCAGCACACUUUUCCCAGGUUGCAUUUCGUCCCGACCUUGCAUCAGUUAAUGCAUCUCCAGUCUCUUGAAGUGUCACCGCAGCUGUCCUGCGAGAUAGCAAAAGAAACUCAGCAGCAAUCCAAAUGUCCUGCGUGGACACAGCUACGGCGACCAAGGCUGAAUGCUAGUCGUUUUUGGGAUGCUUGUUGUAGUAGGGCGUGUCGUGCAGAGCUGGAGUCUGCAGCUAUUCAGACGAUCAGAGGCUCCACAAAGCAAACAGCUGCAAUGAAGCGUGGUCUACUAGUGGAGUCUGAAGUGCUGGCAAACUAUGCUGAACUGUUGCCAGUUAA